rnacentral:rRNA from 1 species
CACGUAGGGGACGAGCGUUGUCCGGAAUCAUUGGGCGUAAAGAGCGUGUAGGCGGCCCGGUAAGUCCGCUGUGAAAGUCCAGGGCUCAACCCUGGGAUGCCGGUGGAUACUGUCGGGCUCGAGUCCGGAAGAGGAGUGUGGAAUUCCUGGUGUAGCGGUGAAAUGCGCAGAUAUCAGGAGGAACACUAAUGGCGAAGGCAGCACUCUGGGACGUGACUGACGCUGAGACGCGAAAGCGUGGGGAGCAAACAGG